UACAGAGGUCCCAAGCGUUGUUCGGAUUCACUGGGCGUAAAGGGUGCGUAGGUGGUUGGGUAAGUUUGAUGUGAAAGCUCUGGGCUCAACCCAGAAAUGGCAUUGAAUACUAUCCGACUUGAGGAGUGGAGGGGGGACUGGAAUACUUGGUGUAGCAGUGAAAUGCGUAGAUAUCAAGUGGAACACCAGUGGCGAAGGCGAGUCCCUGGACACUUCCUGACACUGAGGCACGAAGGCUAGGGGAGCAAACAGG
rnacentral:rRNA from 1 species